rnacentral:rRNA from 1 species
AAUCAUGGCUCAGAGUGAACGCUGGCGGUAGGCCUAACACAUGCAAGUCGAACGGCAGCACAGAGGAGCUUGCUCCUUGGGUGGCGAGUGGCGGACGGGUGAGGAAUACAUCGGAAUCUACUCUGUCGUGGGGGAUAACGUAGGGAAACUUACGCUAAUACCGCAUACGACCUACGGGUGAAAGCAGGGGAUCUUCGGACCUUGCGCGAUUGAAUGAGCCGAUGUCGGAUUAGCUAGUUGGG